AAAGAGCUAGUUAAAUCAUAACCUCGGAUUGUCAGACCGAAAUCACCAGUAACCAUCCUAGUGCUCUUUA
rnacentral:tRNA from 1 species